UCCCCUGUAGCUCAAUGGCAGAGCAGGAAGCUGUUAACUUCAAGGUUGUAGGUUCGAGUCCUACCGGGGGAGCCA
rnacentral:tRNA from 5 species